rnacentral:rRNA from 1 species
GACGAACGCUGGCGGCGUGCUUAACACAUGCAAGUCGAACGAUGAUCCUUGGAGCUUGCUCUGGGGGGAUUAGUGGCGAACGGGUGAGUAACACGUGAGUAACCUGCCCUUCACUCUGGGAUAAGCGCUGGAAACGGCGUCUAAUACUGGAUAUGACCCAUACAGGCAUCUGUUGUGGGUGGAAAGAUUUUUUGGUGGGGGAUGGACUCGCGGCCUAUCAGCUUGUUGGUGAGGUAAUGGCUUACCAAGGCGACGACGGGUAGCCGGCCUGAGAGGGUGACCGGCCACACUGGGACUGAGACACGGCCCAGACUCCUACGGGAGGCAGCAGUGGGGAAUAUUGCACAAUGGGCGCAAGCCUGAUGCAGCAACGCCGCGUGAGGGAUGACGGCCUUCGGGUUGUAAACCUCUUUUGGUAGGGAAGAAGCGAAAGUGACGGUACCUGCAGAAAAAGCACCGGCUAACUACGUGCCAGCCGCCGCCGUAAAAC